CUCCCCUGCUGCUGACUGGGUGGGACUCUCUGCCUGUCAACGUCUCUGUACAGUGAACAUGAGGCAUGUGUAGAGAUUGUGUGACGGGUAGUGAGCCCCCAGCCCUUCUCCUCAUCUCAUCU
rnacentral:precursor_RNA from 16 species